UUUCCGUAGGUGAACCUGCGGAAGGAUCAUUACUGAGUGAGGGCCCUCUGGGUCCAACCUCCCACCCGUGUUUAUUGUACCUUGUUGCUUCGGUGAGCCCGCCUCACGGCCCCCGGGGGGCAUCUGCCCCCGGGCCCCCCCUCGCCGAAGCCACCCUUGAACUCUGUCGGAAGUUUGCAGUCUGAGCGAAAAAUAAAUAAGUUAAAACUUUCAACAACGGAUCUCUUGGUUCCG
rnacentral:misc_RNA from 1 species